UACGGGGGGGGCAAGCGUUGUUCGGAAUUACUGGGCGUAAAGGGUUCGUAGGUGGCUUGCUAAGUCAGACGUGAAAUCCCUCAGCUUAACUGGGGAACUGCGUCUGAUACUGGCGAGCUUGAGUGCAGGAGAGGAACGCGGAAUUCCAGGUGUAGCGGUGAAAUGCGUAGAUAUCUGGAGGAACACCGGUGGCGAAGGCGGGUCUCUGGGCCGAUACUGACGCUGAGGAGCGAAAGCGUGGGGAGCGAACAGG
rnacentral:rRNA from 1 species